CACGUAGGGCGCAAGCGUUGUCCGGAAUUAUUGGGCGUAAAGAGCUCGUAGGUGGUUUGUUACGUCUGCUGUGAAAACCUAGGGCUUAACCCUGGGCUUGCAGUGGAUACGGGCAGACUAGAGGUAGGUAGGGGAGAAUGGAAUUCCUGGUGUAGCGGUGAAAUGCGUAGAUAUCAGGAGGAACACCGAUGGCGAAGGCAGGUCUCUGGGCUGACACUGACGCUCAUGCACGAAAGCGUGGGGAGCAAACAGG
rnacentral:rRNA from 1 species